rnacentral:rRNA from 1 species
AUUGAACGCUGGCGGCAUGCCUUACACAUGCAAGCCGAACGGCAGCACGGGAGCAAUCCUGGUGGCGAGUGGCGAACGGGUGAGUAAAGUAUCGGAACGUGCCCAGUCGUGGGGGAUAACGUAGCGAAAGUUACGCUAAUACCGCAUACGAUCUAUGGAUGAAAGCGGGGGAUCGCAAGACCUCGCGCGAUUGGAGCGGCCGAUAUCAGAUUAGGUAGUUGGUGGGGGAAAGGCUCACCAAGCCGACGAUCUGUAGCUGGUCUGAGAGGACGACCAGCAACACUGGGACUGAGCACCGGCCCAGACUCCUACGGGAGGCAGCAGUGGGGAAUUUUGGACAAUGGGCGAAAGCCUGAUCCAGCCAUUCCGCGUGCAGGAUGAAGGCCUUCGGGUUGUAAACUGCUUUUGGACGGAACGAAAAGGUUUGGCCUAAUAAGCUGAGCUCAUGACGGUACCGUAAGAAUAAGCACCGGCUAACUACGUGCCAGCAGCCGCCGUAA